UACGUAGGGUCCGAGCGUUGUCCGGAAUUACUGGGCGUAAAGAGCUCGUAGGUGGUUUGUCGCGUCUGCUGUGAAAACCCGAGGCUCAACCUCGGGCCUGCAGUGGGUACGGGCAGACUAGAGUGUGGUAGGGGAGACUGGAAUUCCUGGUGUAGCGGUGAAAUGCGCAGAUAUCAGGAGGAACACCCGGUGGGCGAAGGCGGGGUCUCUGGGCCGAUACUGAC
rnacentral:rRNA from 1 species